AGAAGAUUCAGCAAAAAUAUGCAAAACGAGAAGAUAUCUCCCUUGAACUGGUCUGCACUUUUUCCUUAUUUCAAAUCAACCUUGAAGUUUAGACUAUGACGAUGUGCUACCUCAGUUUCUAAAUAAGAAUGCCGCUUAACGAUGCCGCUCAACAGGAUUCCUUGGUAUUCCGUUGGUGAAUCUGGAUUUCAGUGGAUAUCGCAUCCUACAGAGUUAAAGUCCAUCCUGGUAUGCUCCUGACCGAAUUGGCGACAUGGUGGCAAUCAAGAAAGUGCACAAUAACUUUGAGCACUUUGUGUUGCUUGGAUCCUCCGUAAGAUCAAUUUACUCCGGCUACUGAGACAUCUUGAUAUAGUUUAGAGCAGGCAUCUCUACCGGUAUGCUACUUUUUUUAAUCGAAUUUAAAUACGAGUUAGUAUUCAAGUUUUCCAUUAUUCUGUUACUCUUUCUUAAGUAUCUAUGGGUAGUUCUCUUUGUAAUGCUCUAUCCACACUUCAGUAUUGAUGCUUUGUUGUGCAUACAGAAUUAGGAGUAGUGAUAACUCAAUAGCCAAGGCCACCAUAUGAAUGAAAGAUUGCCGUUUGUCCUUUAUU